rnacentral:rRNA from 1 species
GUUUAUCAAAAACAUAGCUUCUCGAAAUUAUAAGAAGUUACGUCUGCCCGGUGACCUAGUUUAACGGCCGCGUAAGUGCUAAGGUAGCAUAAUCAUUUGCCUUUUUAUUGGAGGCUAGUAUGAAUGGACUAACGAAGCUUAACUGUCUCUAGUUAUUAAUGUUAAAUUGAUUUAAAGGUGAAAAAUCCUUUAUUUUAGUGAAGGACGAGAAGACCCUAUAGAGUUUUAGUGCAAUUUUAUUAAAAAUCAUAAAUAAGAUACACUUUUAUUGGGGCAAUAAAAGAACAAUAAAACUCUUGUUUAAAUUUAUUUAUCCUCAAAGAGAAAAAAGAAAAACUACCUUAGGGAUAACAGCGUUAUCCUCCCAGAGAGAUCUAAUCGAAGGGAGGGUUUGCGACCUCGAUGUUGGACUAAGGAACCCCCUAAGUGCAGAAGCUUAGUUGGCAGGCCUGUUCGGCCUUUAAUACCUUACAUGAUCUGAGUUCA